ACGGGGCGCAGCAGGCGCGAAACCUCCGCAAUGCGCGAAAGCGUGACGGGGUUAUUCCGAGUGUUAGCCGCUGAGGCAAACUUUUACUUAGUUCAAAAGGCUUUGAGAAUAAGGGGAGGGCAAGAUUGGUGUCAGCCGCCGCGGUAAUACCAACUCCCCGAGUGGUUGGGAUGUUUACUGGGCUUAAAGCGUCCGUAGCCUGUUUUAUAAGUUCUCUGUUAAAUCCGAUGUCUCAAGCAUCGGGCUGCAGAGAAUACUGUAUAACUUGGGAAUGGAAGAAGCCGGCGGUACUUUUUGGGAAGGAGUAAAAUCCUCAGAUCCAAAAAGGACCACCAGUGGCGAAGGCGGCCGGCUAGGACAUGUCCGACGGUGAGGGACGAAAGCUGAGGUAGCGAUCCGGAUUAGAUACCCGGGUAGUCUCAGCUGUAAACGAUGCAGACUAGGUGUGUGAGCAAACAUGUGUUGCUCAUGUGCCGUAGAGAAAUUGUUAAGUCUGCCGCCUGGGAAGUACGGCCGCAAGGCUGAAACUUAAAGGAAUUGGCGGGGGAGCACCACAAGGGGUGAAUCUUGCGGUUUAAUUGGAGUCAACGCCCGGAAACUUACCUGGGGGGACAGCAGAAUGAAGGCCUAGCUGAAGACUAUGCUAGACAAGCUGAGAGGUGGUGCAUGGCCGUCGCCGGUUCGUACCGUGAGGUGUCCUGUUAAGUCAGGCAACGAACGAGACCCAUAUUUCUAGUUGCUAGAAUGAUUUCUCGAAAUUAUUAAGGAAACUAGUUAGACUGCCGCUGUAAAGCGGAGGAAGGAAUGGGCUACGGCAGGUCAGUAUGCCCUAAAUCCUCAGGGCCACACGCGAGAUGCAAUAGCAUGGACAAUGGGUUCUGACCUCGAAAGAGGUAAGAAAUCCUUAAACCAUGCUUCAGUUGGAAUUGAGGGCUGCAACCCGUCCUCAUGAACCUGGAAUCCCUAGUAACCGCGUGUCAUCAUCGCGCGGUGAAUACGUCCCCGCUCCUUGCACACACCGCCCGUCGCUUCAUCC
rnacentral:rRNA from 1 species